GAUGAAGAACGUAGCGAAAUGCGAUAAGUAAUGUGAAUUGCAGAAUUCAGUGAAUCAUCGAAUCUUUGAACGCACAUUGCGCCCGCCAGUAUUCUGGCGGGCAUGCCUGUUCAAGCGUCAUUUCAACCAUCAAGCCCCAGGCUUGUGUUGGAGCCCUGCGGCUGCCGCAGCCUCCCAAAACCAGUGGCGGGCUCGCUAUCACACCGAGUGCAGUAGUUUACUCUUCGCUCAGGGCGUGUGGCGGGUGCUAGCCGUGAAACCCCCAACUUCUCAAGGUUGACCUCGGAUCAGGUAGGAAUACCCGCUGAACUUAAGCAUAUCAAUAAGCGGAGGA
rnacentral:misc_RNA from 1 species